rnacentral:rRNA from 1 species
GACGAACGCUGGCGGCGUGCCUAAUACAUGCAAGUUGAGCGAUGAAGAUUGGUGCUUGCACCAAUUUGAAGAGCAGCGAACGGGUGAGUAACGCGUGGGGAAUCUGCCUUUGAGCGGGGGACAACAUUUGGAAACGAAUGCUAAUACCGCAUAAUAACUUUAAACAUAAGUUUUAAGUUUGAAAGAUGCAAUUGCAUCACUCAAAGAUGAUCCCGCGUUGUAUUAGCUAGUUGGUGAGGUAAAGGCUCACCAAGGCGAUGAUACAUAGCCGACCUGAGAGGGUGAUCGGCCAAAUUGGGACUGGGAAACGGCCCAAACUCCUACGGGAGGCAGCAGUAGGGAAUCUUCGGCAAUGGACGAAAGUCUGACCGAGCAAAGCCGCGUGAGUGAAGAAGGUUUUCGGAUCGUAAAACUCUGUUGGUAGAGAAGAACGUUGGUGAGAGUGGAAAGCUCAUCAAGUGACGGUAACUACCCAGAAAGGGACGGCUAACUACGUG